rnacentral:rRNA from 1 species
UACAGAGGUCCCAAGCGUUGUUCGGAUUCACUGGGCGUAAAGGGUGCGUAGGUGGUGAGGUAAGUCGGAUGUGAAAUCUCCGAGCUCAACUCGGAAAUGGCAUUGGAAACUACCUUGCUCGAGGGUUGGAGGGGGGACUGGAAUGCUUGGUGUAGCAGUGAAAUGCGUAGAUAUCAAGCGGAACACCAGUGGCGAAGGCGAGUCCCUGGACAACUCCUGACACUGAGGUACGAAAGCUAGGGGAGCAAACAGG